GCCUCGGUGGUGUAGUGGUCAAGGCGCUCGCCUGGUAAUCAAGAGGGUGUGGGUUAAAUCCCAACCAAGGUA
rnacentral:tRNA from 1 species